rnacentral:misc_RNA from 1 species
GAUGAAGAACGCAGCGAAAUGCGAUAAGUAAUGUGAAUUGCAGAAUUCAGUGAAUCAUCGAAUCUUUGAACGCAUCUUGCGCUCCUUGGUAUUCUGAGGAGCAUGCCUGUUUGAGUGUCAUUAAAUUCUCAACUACACUGACUUUGAAUUGGUGUGGCUUGGAUUUGGGGGGAAAAUUGUUGUGGGCUUUUUGUAUAGUCUGCUCCCCUGAAAUUGAUUAGCGGUACCUUUGUGGAACUGUCUACAGGUGUGAUAAUUAUCUACAUCUUAGACAUCUGCUGGAAUGCUGCUUUCUAAACCUUACUUGUAUUGACAAUCUUGACCUCAAAUCAGGUAGGACUACCCGCUGAACUUAAGAAUAUCAAUAAGCGGAGGA